GUUGGCUAUGGUGACAUCUACCCUAAGACGCUUCUGGGUAAAAUAGUGGGAGGUUUAUGUUGUAUUGCGGGGGUUCUGGUAAUAGCUCUUCCAAUCCCUAUUAUAGUCAACAAU
rfam:Xenopus laevis strain J chromosome 9_10L, whole genome shotgun sequence.